rnacentral:rRNA from 1 species
CUACGGGAGGCAGCAGUGGGGGAAUAUUGCACAAUGGGCGCAAGCCUGAUGCAGCGACGCCGCGUGAGGGAUGACGGCCUUCGGGUUGUAAACCUCUUUCAGUAGGGAAGAAGCGAAAGUGACGGUACCUGCAGAAGAAGCGCCGGCUAACUACGUGCCAGCAGCCGCGGUAAUACGUAGGGCGCAAGCGUUAUCCGGAAUUAUUGGGCGUAAAGAGCUCGUAGGCGGUUUGUCGCGUCUGCCGUGAAAGUCCGGGGCUCAACUCCGGAUCUGCGGUGGGUACGGGCAGACUAGAGUGAUGUAGGGGAGACUGGAAUUCCUGGUGUAGCGGUGAAAUGCGCAGAUAUCAGGAGGAACACCGAUGGCGAAGGCAGGUCUCUGGGCAUUAACUGACGCUGAGGAGCGAAAGCAUGGGGAGCGAACAGGAUUAGAUACCCUGGUAGUCCAUGCCGUAAACGUUGGGCACUAGGUGUGGGGGACAUUCCACGUUUUCCGCGCCGUAGCUAACGCAUUAAGUGCCCCGCCUGGGGAGUACGGCCGCAAGGCUAAAACU